rnacentral:rRNA from 1 species
UACAGAGGGUGCGAGCGUUGUCCGGAAUCACUGGGCGUAAAGGGCGCGUAGGUGGCCUGUGGAAGUCUGCGGUGAAAGCCCGGCGCUCAACGCCGGGUCGGCCGUGGAUACUCUCGGGCUUGAGCUUACUAGAGGCAGAUGGAAUUCCCGGUGUAGCGGUGAAAUGCGCAGAUAUCGGGAGGAACACCGGUGGCGAAGGCGGCCCGCUGGACAGCGCCUGACGCUGAGACGCGAAAGCGUGGGCAGCAAACAGG